GGGGGGCAAGUAGAGUGGCGCACGGGUGAGUAACACGUAGGUAAUCUACCUUUGGAUGGGGAAUAACAACCGGAAACGGUUGCUAAUACCGCAUAAUGCAGCGGCACCUAAUGGUGACAGUUGUUAAAGCGGGGGAUCGAAAGACCUCGCGUCUAAAGAGGAGCCUGCGGCGGAUUAGCUAGUUGGUAAGGUAAUGGCUUACCAAGGCUACGAUCCGUAACCGGCCUGAGAGGGCGGUCGGUCACACUGACACUGACAUACGGGUCAGACUCCUACGGGAGGCAGCAGUCGGGAAUUUUGGGCAAUGGGCGAAAGCCUGACCCAGCAACGCCGCGUGAAGGAUGAAAUCCCUCGGGAUGUAAACUUCGCAAGAACGGGAAGAAUAAGUAGGGGACAAUACCCCCUAUGAUGACGGUACCGUUUGUAAGCUCCGGCUAACUCCGUGCCAGCAGCCGCGGUAAUACGGGGGGAGCAAGCGUUGUUCGGAUUUACUGGGCGUAAAGGGCGCGUAGGCGGUCAGCACAAGUCAGUUGUGAAAUCUCCGAGCUUAACUCGGAAAGGUCAACUGAUACUGUGCGACUAGAGUGCGGAAGGGGCAACUGGAAUUCUUGGUGUAGCGGUGAAAUGCGUAGAUAUCAAGAGGAACACCUGCGGCGAAGGCGGGUUGCUGGGCCGACACUGACGCUGAAGUGCGAAAGCCAGGGGAGCGAACGGGAUUAGAUACCCCGGUAGUCCUGGCCUUAAACGAUGAAUGCUUGGUGUCUGGGGUUAU
rnacentral:rRNA from 1 species